rnacentral:rRNA from 1 species
ACUUCUGAAAAAAUAGAGUGUUUAAAGCAGGCUAACGCUUGAAUACAUUAGCAUGGAAUAAUGAAAUAGGACGAUCGAUCCUAUUCCGUCGGUUUCUAGGGUUCGACGUAAUGAUUAAUAGGGAUAGUUGGGGGCAUUAGUAUUCAAUUGUCAGAGGUGAAAUUCUUGGAUUUAUUGAAGACUGGCUACUGCGAAAGCAUUUGCCAAGGAUGUUUUCAUUAAUCAAGAACGAAAGUUAGGGGAUCGAAGACGAUCAGAUACCGUCGUAGUCUUAACCGUAAACUAUGCCGACUAGGGAUCGGAUGAUGUUAAUUUUUUAACGACUCAUUCGGCGCCUUACG